rnacentral:rRNA from 1 species
AUCUACAGCCAUAGCACCCUGAGAACGCCCCAUCCCGUCUGCUCUGGGAAGCUAAGCAGGGUCGGGCCCGGUCAGUGCUUGGAUGGGAGACCAGCUGGGAAUAGCGGGUGCUGUGGGCU